rnacentral:rRNA from 1 species
UACGGAGGGAGCUAGCGUUGUUCGGAAUUACUGGGCGUAAAGCGCACGUAGGCGGCUUUGUAAGUCAGAGGUGAAAGCCCGGGGCUCAACCCCGGAAUUGCCUUUGAGACUGCAUCGCUAGAAUUGUGGAGAGGUAAGUGGAAUUCCGAGUGUAGAGGUGAAAUUCGUAGAUAUUCGGAAGAACACCAGUGGCGAAGGCGACUUACUGGACACAUAUUGACGCUGAGGUGCGAAAGCGUGGGGAGCAAACAGG